CCAGGGAACAUGGGGAGAUUGCAGGUGAUCCUCUGCUCAAACUGGAGCUUUAGCUCUUUGAUAUUAAGUAAUAACUCUGUGGACCUACACUAUGGUCAUGUCAGAAGGGCCUGAUGGGAACAGGAAUUUCUAUUUCCGGAUGAUUUUUUGGCAGAGAAGUCGAUCGGGAUUCUGAUGGCUGCAUCAGCUUCAAAGAGUUUGACUCUGCAAUGAAGUAUGGACAAGAUGAAGUAUCACCAGUGUACUUUGCCUAAGGAAUAUUUUCUGGUAAAAAGACAAAGUGAAAACUUCAGAUCUCAAGAUAUUUAAAAAUCAAUGAAACUUCAUUUGUUUCAGCCAGCAUUUUAAGAACUUUGACUGUAAGUGUAGCUCUGAAGAGCAGCCUUUGAAGAUUUACUGUUGACAAGUUGGGUGUAUUAAUUUACAUGUGUAUAUGUGUGUUGAAUGCUUAAAAUUUUUGAAAUCUCAAUUGAUUCACAAUCACACUACUUAGGAACUGGAACUCUGUACUUUUUCUUUUUGACUUAACAGACAAAAAAAAGAGUAAUUAUGAUUUCAAGUUACUGUGAAAUUUACUUGUUCACUCUUUCAAUAGACCAAAAUAUUUCACAUGUAUAAAAACAUGUAGACUGAAUUUAUGGUAGAAAAUGCCUGUUGAUUUUGGUUUUUUUUAUCAGUAGUAUAUUUGUCCCCCCUUUACUGUUUUAUGUACAUAUAUAUUGUUCUUGUUUAUAUAUUGCACAUUGUUUUUAAUUUAACAUUUAUUAGUUAAUUAGCUACAUUAUUUAGUUCUGAAAAA